UCGUGUAUCAUUGAGAUACGAAGUUAACGAGUUGCAUUUCAUUCUGUAGGAUUUGACCAGCCGAUUUUGGAAAACUAAUUAUGAAAAUAGUUUCUUACCAAGUAUCAUUGACGACAUGGUGUGCUUUAUUUCUUGUCAUCAGAAUAAGUAUUGGUGACCCCGUGACACUUUGUCAGGCUGAAGCACGGGAAACUUUUGAGGAUUGCAAAUUAGGAUGUAUCUCUAUGAACCAAAUGCUGCUCUCUGGGUGUUUGAGGACAUGCACUACACAUAAUACACAGCGAAUGAAGAUUUGUAUGUCCAAUACCUAAACUGAAAGCCGACGGCUUGCAGACUUUGUUAUGAAUUACCAUUUCUCUAAUUAAAAACAUUUGUCAGUACA